UAGUAUAAGGGAGAAGAGUUUAAGCUCCAAUUGUCACAUUAGAAAGUCAUAUAUUUCUGCCUAGGUGCCUUUCUGUGCCUGGUAUAGUACAUGUGGGAGCACCUGGAAUCUUCUUUCACCAUUAAAGCUGGAAAGUUAUCCUCUGAUCUGUGUCAGUAUUACUUAAAACAAAAACAAAACACUGAUGAUUUCCCAUUGUAUACCAUGUAGUUACAGAUAAAAAUUUAAUUUUAUUUUGGUACUCAUCUCCAGUGAACUCCUUUCUUGUACCCUUGAUUCUUACCUUUCAAAUGUUACUCCUGUCUUUUUUGGAAAAUACCUUUUAUAUGUCUAACAGAGGUUGAUCUCAAACCCAUAUGAAAAUGUUUUAUCUUUUUGACUACCAAUUUAAAAUAGCAUUAAAUUUUAUGCUCAAAACAAUAGAACAGUCUUAUUUGUCAUGGUUAACAGGGAGCGCCAAUGCAGAUUAUCUACCAUAUGAGAGGACUGUUGGGGGAUGCUACAGAGGACAUAGUUAACUCCCUUGAUACAAACACACUGGAAGAUAUAGACAAAGAGGAAGUGUACAGAAUGGCCAAUGUGCUCGCUACAUGUGGUGGUCUUAAGGUGAUGCUGGACAGUUUUACCUCGGGAGCGUCAACUAUUCGAAGAAAAGUUAUAGCUGUGGAAGUGUCUGGGGCUAUGGAAGGGUCUAAUGCUACGGAUCCUAGUCCAAAUGAUAAGACGUUUCGGGACAGCGUGAUAACAUUUGACUGUCGUUGAGGGAUGACAGCUAAAAAAAUCAGAUCAUAAAAUAUGUCAUCCAAUAGACCAAAUGAGUAAUCUACAAUGUGAUUGUACAACUGCCACAGAAAUGAACUUCAACAGAGGAGCAGAACUGGCCGUAGAUCAGUGGGAGAGGUGCUCUAAUGAACUUUAGCUGUUUCCAGCUUAAAACAUAUGGACUAUAGGACAGAGAUGUGUGUAUCAGUCUGUCAGGCUAUCACUUGUCCAGCCGACAAAUUUGCAAUGGAUACGUAGAUUCUCAAAUAACUUGGCAUAACUUUUCACAGUUACAAAGACAGGUUGCAAAGGAUUU